CGGCAGCCCGAGUGGUGAUCACUAUCAUUGGGUCUAAAGGGUCCGUAGCCGGUUUGAUCAGUCUUUUGGGAAAUCUGACAGCUUAACUGUUAGGCUUCCAAAGGAUACUGUCAGACUUGGGACCGGGAGAGGUAAGAGGUACUACAGGGGUAGGAGUGAAAUCUUGUAAUCCCUGUGAGACCACCAGUGGCGAAGGCGUCUUACCAGAACGGGUCCGACGGUGAGGGACGAAAGCUGGGGGCACGAACCGGAUUAGAUACCCGAGUAGUCC
rnacentral:rRNA from 1 species